rnacentral:rRNA from 1 species
AUUGAACGCUGGCGGCAGGCCUAACACAUGCAAGUCGAACGAGUGGCGGACGGGUGAGUAAUGUCUGGGAAACUGCCUGAUGGAGGGGGAUAACUACUGGAAACGGUAGCUAAUACCGCAUACCAUCAGAUGUGCCCAGAUGGGAUUAGCUUGUUGGUGGGGUAACGGCUCACCAAGGCGACGAUCCCUAGCUGGUCUGAGAGGAUGACGAGCAAACCGGGAAUUGAGAAACGGCCAAGACUCCUACGGGAGGCGGCAGGGGGGAAGAUUGCACAAUGGGCGAAAGCCGGAUGCAGCCAGGCGGGGUGUAUGAAGAAGUCCUUCGGGUUGUAAAGUACUUUCAGCGGGGAGGCGUUACCCGCAGAAGAAGCACCGGCUAACUCCGUGCCAGCAGCCGCGGUAAUA